UGAAUACGAGAUGCUACGGCGUCGAAGCAGUGUAUGUCAGACUUCCAAGAAAAGCUCGCAAUGUCAUAAAUAAAGAAUGCCUGUACCAUAACCGACACAGGUGGGUAGGUAGAGUAUACUAAGGGGCGCGAGAUAACUCUCUCUAAGGAACUCGGCAAAAUAACUCCGUAACUUCGGGAGAAGGAGUGCCUUCUAUUAGAAGGUCGCAAUAACAAGAUCCAAGCAACUGUUUAUCAAAAACACAGGUCUCCGCUAAGUCGUAAGACGAUGUAUGGGGGCUGACGCCUGCCCAGUGCCAGAAGGUUAAAGAAGUUGGUUAGCUUUGGCGAAGCUGAUGACUGAAGCCCUGGUGAACGGCGGCCGUAACGAUAACGGUCCUAAGGUAGCGAAAUUCCUUGUCGGGUAAGUUCCGACCCGCACGAAAGGCGUAAUGAUUUGGAUACUGUCUCGGAGAGGGACUCGGUGAAAUAGACUUGUCUGUGAAGAUGCGGACUACCUGCACCAGGACAGAAAGACCCUAUGAAGCUUUACUGUAACUUGAAAUUGAAAUUGGACUUUAUUUGCGCAGCAUAGGUGGAAGGCGUUGAGAUUACUCUUGCGGGAGUACUGGAGCCAUCAGUGAGAUACCACUCCUAUAAUGUUAGAUUUCUAACUUUGGAUCAUGAUCUGGUCAAAGAACAGUUUCAGGCGGGCAGUUUGACUGGGGCGGUCGCCUCCCAAAUGGUAACGGAGGCGUACAAAGGUUUCCUCUGAACGGGUAGAAAUCGUAUCUAGAGUGUAAAGGCAUAAGGAAGCUUGACUGUGAGACCUACAAGUCGAGCAGGGACGAAAGUCGGUCUUAGUGAUCUGACGGUGCUGAGUGGAAAGGCCGUCACUCAACGGAUAAAAGUUACUCUAGGAUAACAGGCUGAUCUCCCCCAAGAGUUCACAUCGACGGGGAGGUUUGGCACCUCGAUGUCGGCUCAUCGCAUCCUGGGGCGGUAGUACGUCCCAAGGGUUGGGCUGUUCGCCCAUGAAAGCGGUACCCGAGCUGGGUUCAGAACGUCGUGAGACAGUUCGGUCCAUAUCCGGUGUAGGCGUUAGAAUAUUGAGAGGAGCCUUCUUUAGUACGAGAGGACCGAGAAGGACAUACCUCUGGUGUACCAGUUAUCGUGCCAACGGUAAACGCUGGGUAGCUAUGUAUGGAGAGGAUAACCGCUGAAAGCAUCUAAGUGGGAAGCCCACCUCAAGAUGAGUA
rnacentral:rRNA from 1 species